UGAGUUUGAUUCUGGCUCAGGAUGAACGCUGGCGGCAUGCCUAACACAUGCAAGUCGAACGAGAAACUUUGAGAAGACGAUUUAUCUGAUUCUUAAAGUGGAAAGUGGCGGACGGGUGAGUAACGCGUGAGUAACCUACCUUUUGCAGAGGGAUAGCCCCGGGAAACUGGGAGUAAUACCUCAUAAGACUACGCUACCGCAUGGUAAAGUAGUAAAAACUCCGGUGGCAAAAGAUGGACUCGCGUCUGAUUAGCUAGUAGGUAAGGUAACGGCUUACCUAGGCGACGAUCAGUAGCCGGCCUGAGAGGGCGGACGGCCACACUGGAACUGAGAGACGGUCCAGACUCCUACGGGAGGCAGCAGUGGGGAAUAUUGCACAAUGGGGGAAACCCUGAUGCAGCAAUGCCGCGUGAAGGAUGAAGGUUUUCGGAUUGUAAACUUCUUUCGCUGGGGAAGAAACAAAUGACGGUACCCAGAUAAGAAGCCCCGGCUAACUAUGUGCCAGCAGCCGCGGUAAUACAUAGGGGGCAAGCGUUAUCCGGAUUUA
rnacentral:rRNA from 1 species